GAUCGCACCAUCAGGAUCUGAUAC
rnacentral:siRNA from 1 species